rnacentral:rRNA from 1 species
UGGUGGGUAGUUUGACUGGGGCGGUCUCCUCCUAAAGAGUAACGGAGGAGCACGAAGGUUGGCUAAUCCUGGUCGGACAUCAGGAGGUUAGUGCAAUGGCAUAAGCCAGCUUGACUGCGAGCGUGACGGCGCGAGCAGGUGCGAAAGCAGGUCAUAGUGAUCCGGUGGUUCUGAAUGGAAGGGCCAUCGCUCAACGGAUAAAAGGUACUCCGGGGAUAACAGGCUGAUACCGCCCAAGAGUUCAUAUCGACGGCGGUGUUUGGCACCUCGAUGUCGGCUCAUCACAUCCUGGGGCUGAAGUAGGUCCCAAGGGUAUGGCUGUUCGCCAUUUAAAGUGGUACGCGAGCUGGGUUUAGAACGUCGUGAGACAGUUCGGUCCCUAUCUGCCGUGGGCGCUGGAGAAUUGAGGGGGGCUGCUCCUAGUACGAGAGGACCGGAGUGGACGCAUCACUGGUGUUCGGGUUGUCAUGCCAAUGGCACUGCCCGGUAGCUAAAUGCGGAAGAGAUAAGUGCUGAAAGCAUCUAAGCACGAAACUUGCCCCGAGAUGAGUUCUCCCUGACCCUUUAAGGGUCCUGAAGGAACGUUGAAGACGACGACGUUGAUAGGCCGGGUGUGUAAGCGCAGCGAUGCGUUGAGCUAACCGGUACUAAUGAACCGUGAGGCUUAACCUU